GGUGGGGUAGCGAAGUGGCUAAACGCGGUGGACUGUAAAUCCACUCUCUCCGAGUUCGGUGGUUCGAAUCCACUCCCCACCACCA
rnacentral:tRNA from 4 species